UACAGAGGUCCCAAGCGUUGUUCGGAUUCAUUGGGCGUAAAGGGUGCGUAGGUGGCGUCGUAAGUCGGGUGUGAAAUCUCGGGGCUUAACUCCGAAACUGCAUUCGAUACUGCGGUGCUUGAGGACUGGAGAGGAGGCUGGAAUUUACGGUGUAGCAGUGAAAUGCGUAGAGAUCGUAAGGAAGACCAGUGGCGAAGGCGGGUCUCUGGACAGUUCCUGACACUGAGGCACGAAGGCCAGGGGAGCAAACGGG
rnacentral:rRNA from 1 species